UACGUAGGGUGCAAGCGUUGUCCGGAAUUAUUGGGCGUAAAGAGCUCGUAGGCGGUCUGUCGCGUCGGCUGUGAAAACUCGGGGCUCAACCCCGAGCCUGCAGUCGAUACGGGCAGACUAGAGUGCUGUAGGGGAGACUUGAAUUCCUGGUGUAGCGGUGAAAUGCGCAGAUAUCAGGAGGAACACCGGUGGCGAAGGCGGGUCUCUGGGCAGUAACUGACGCUGAGGAGCGAAAGCGUGGGGAGCGAACAGG
rnacentral:rRNA from 1 species